GGGCAAGUCUGGUGCCAGCAGCCGCGGUAAUUCCAGCUCCAAUAGCGUAUAUUAAUGUUGUUGCGGUUAAAAAGCUCGUAGUUGGAUCUCGGUUUCGGAUGAGUGGUGUACCUUGCGGUAUUUACUGCUUGUCCGGACGAUUUUGUUAGUUCGUUUAUGGUUCUCUUAACCGAGUGCCAUAAGUGGCUAACACGUUUACUUUGAAAAAAUUGGAGUGCUCAAAGCAGGCGCUACAGCCUGAACAUUAGUGCAUGGAAUAAUGGAAUAGGAUCUCGGUUCUAUUUCGUUGGCUUUCGGAGUCGAGGUAAUGAUUAAUAGGGACAGACGGGGGCAUUCGUACUGCGACGUUAGAGGUGAAAUUCUUGGAUCGUCGCAAGACGAACUACUGCGAAAGCAUUUGCCAAGAAUGU
rnacentral:rRNA from 1 species